CUCUCGGUACUGCUUCGCCCCCACCAAAAAAUCCCCACGAUCGUUCCUACCCGCUCGCUCCGUCCCCGACUCCCCCUCCCUCCCACGCCUCGCGCCUCCUUGCACCGCUCCGGCAGCCGCUCGCCAUCCGCCGUCGCCGGCGACCACCAGCAGCGCCCGUCGCGCCUCUCCGCGCGCCACUCGGAGGCCCCAGCCAGGCUGCGCAGCCGUCCUCCACAACCCGGGCCUCCUCCUCGACCUCGCCUCUCCGUGCGACAACCGGCGUCGCCGCCGGCAGCGCCCGUCGCGCCUCUCCGCGCCUCUCCGCGCGCCAGUCGGAGCCCCCAGCCAGGCCGCGCAGCCGUCCUCCACAACCCGGGCCUCCUCCUCGACCUCGCCUCUCCGUGCGACAACCGGCGUCGCCGCCGGCGGCCACGGGUCCAGCGCCGCCUUCGUCCUCCACCUUCUCCUAAAGCGCGCGUUCGCCGCGGGCGCUGGAGGUGGCGCGGCGGUCCUCGCCCUCAAGCUCACUGAGGACGGCGUCCUUGCCGAGCAGCUCGACGAGAGCAGGAGGCUCGCCUCGCUGCCAAUGUCACUGAACUGAAUUGGCAGCCAUCUCAGCCACGUCUUUCAGCACGUAACCGGCGAACCCAUUCAGCAGCUCCUGGGCAAACAGCUUUGACCCCUGUUAACACGUUAUGAGGAUCCAUGGCCUCUUCUUCUAUUUCUUCAGUGUUUCUGCUGCAUCUUCCUGACACUGGUCCUCAACUAGCUUAUUUUGCUCUUCUUUCUGAAGAUCCAUGGCCUGCUUUUCCAAUUGUUGAGUGGGUACAGUAGUCUUCAUAUCAUCACCUAAUUGAUUGCAAACAAAAUUCUCAUCCGUUUCAGAUACGAUAGUCAAGACACAUAACGCGGUACACUGCAACUACAGAAAGGCAUGGGACACGCACCGAUUUAAGUCCAUGUCAGGGGCAUCACCUGUCUCACGUUCGCAGGAGGAAGAAGCUCCGAGUUCGCCGGAGGUACACAAACAUCCGUCGAGCACUCCAAUGUCGCCUACGGCGUCUGCACCAGAGGUGCCAAAGGCGUCUCAGGUGGAGGCGAAGGAGGUUCUUCUAAUUCCUAAGGCACCAGACUGGACAUUCCUAUGUUGACUACCAUUUAUGGUCAAUAAAGUUGUCCGUGUUUGUUUUUGAUUGCUCAACUAAAUAUCUGAAGCCAAAUGAUGUAUGCAUUCAUGUUUCUCCUCUAAGGCAGAAAGACUGGACAUUCCUAUGGAUGCCCAGUACAAACGAAGAUGGGUUCCCGAUUGUUCCUAGAUAUUUCAGAGCAACUAGAGUGGUCUUACCUGACAAGCUCCAAUGUUGUGCUGAAGUAUUUUGAACAAGCUUGUCCUUUGCCUUAUGCUGGAACAAGGCACCUUCUAUUCCCCAUGGGCACCAAGAAUGCGAAGACAUUGACGAUUCGAGCAAAUGUAGGUUCAGGCUUCAAGAUUGAGCCGAGCGCCCUACCAGCAGAUCGGGAUAAUGCAUAUCAGCGAUUGGAUAUUUCUGGCCCUACAGUUAACCCUUUUGUUUUUUCCUGUAUGGUGAGGGCGAGAUAAAAGAUAUGCUUUCUGUUUGUGCUGAGCAUGGAGCUUGGGUAGUGAUAGACACCUUCUCUGGUCUGGAGUUCCACAACAGAGAUGGCUGGAUUUUGCGGAACGGGAUGAUAUUUUCACAAGCCCAAGUCGACAUAUUUCACAAGUACUUUUUUUUCUUCGAAAAGGAGGAUAUUUUCACAAGCCCAAGCCGACCACAUGGCACUUUGAAAUGCACUUAUAGGAAGCUGUUGGUUCUGAAGAACAAGAGGGAUCAACAUUUCUCUAAUCUCAUCACGCCAACAAACUGACGAAGGUACCACUGUGGUAUUUAGAUGCUGGCGAAACCGACGGCGUACAUCGGCAAAUCGUUCAGGGUGGAUGAUUUUGAAGGCGAGCUCGACGGCUGCAAUAUCAGGGAAGCCCUACUGAACUACUGCAGGUUCAGCUUACCGUGUAGUAUUUUCUUUACAACAAGGCCUCACACGAGCAAAACUGUCAUCUUGUUGUUUAGUUUUGGCCCGGGACUGCAAUUUUUCCCCUUAUUGCAUCCCUUAGUGCAUAAAAUAAAAUAUAUAAUGUGCAUAAAAGCUGAAAACAACCAUUACGAUCAUAGUAGGCGAACUGAAAUUGUAGGGAUAUAAAGCAGCACCUGAACAUACAAAAGCUGGCCACAACUCUGUCUUCAAUUCCAUCUUGUUUCCAGAUUUCAGGAGUAGAUCAUCACCACCAUCACGACGAUCAGGCUCUUUGUCAGUGCAAAUAACAGACUAACACCACAAGGACUUCAUUAACCUUAGCCACUUCUUAUGGGUACAUGAGAACUAAAAAAAUUCAUCUGUUAAAAUUUGUUUUUGUGACUGUUUGGACUAAUUCAUGUGCAUAAUUUAUAUUUUCAAUUAGACUGAUUUAUUGUAGUUUUAUCAAUGAAGUAUAUUAAGAUGUGGGCAUUAUAUCGAAAGUUUUGUUCUACACGCGAGGUCAUGUGAGCUCGGGUGAACAGUAAAAUAAAUAAAAAAAUGGAAAAACAAUUCAAAAAAUGUGAUUUCUUUUUGUAUGAGACACAGAAAAAAUGUUUAUUGGCUUGCAAAAUUUCAAUACUAUCUUUCUUGACUGAUUGUUUGUGGUCUGCCAUGAGCCCACGACGUACCCAUCUGCAUCUGCCUCGCCUUGAGGCCACAGCAGCACCCCUGCCCUUCUGCUCCUGCUGGCGACCGCAACCCUCUGGCGGCAGCGACACCGCUCUCGUGUGCUGGCCUUGCUGUCUCAUCUCCUCUCGCUCUCAUGUUUGAGUCUGAUGUUAGCGUUAUGUGUGUGUGGAUGGAUAUGAUGCUACCACGGUGUGUGUACAAAUCUAUUUUUGGUUUAUUUUUCUUUGGAGUAUUGCUGUUGGAGAUGAGCUUAAGAGGCGAAAGAGUAAAGAUCUGGUAAGCUGUUUGUAUUGCUUCAGGAGAAUCUUUUAUCACUGUUUUUGGGACUGUAUUUAUGUCAAAGAGGCAUGUAGGGAGCUGGAACAAAUUUGUUACUUCUCAUGGCCACUUUUUUGAACAUGAUUAUUGAGCUUGA